rnacentral:rRNA from 1 species
AUGCUUCUUAAUGAGGUCCACCUUGACGAGCUCACCGAGGAUGAAAUCAUUUGGAAGCAUACGAGCAAUGGGACAUACUCGGCGACUUCCGCAUACAGGGCGCAACUCCUAGGGAUGGUCCUGUCACCAAUGGACAGGAUGGUUUGGAAGGUUUGGGCGCCUCCAAAAGUUAAUUUUUUUUCUUGGCUAGCUCUUCAAGAUAGAAUCUAG